rnacentral:rRNA from 1 species
UACGUAGGGUGCAAGCGUUGUCCGGAUUUAUUGGGCGUAAAGAGCUCGUAGGUGGUUUGUCGCGUUGUUCGUGAAAACUCACAGCUUAACUGUGGGCGUGCGGGCGAUACGGGCAGACUGGAGUACUGCAGGGGAGACUGGAAUUCCUGGUGUAGCGGUGGAAUGCGCAGAUAUCAGGAGGAACACCGGUGGCGAAGGCGGGUCUCUGGGCAGUAACUGACGCUGAGGCGCGAAAGCGUGGGGAGCGAACAGG